UUCACAUCUUACUGCGGUAAAAUCCACAUCCCUUCCCCGAAAAUCUGCUGCAUCGAAAGGAAUUACUGUACCUCAUAGAGGCUGCGGGAGGAACUGUACGGCCAGGGAAUGGCUCCGUACUCUGCAAGGUGUAAAGGGAACACAGGGCUAUGAGUUUCCUAAGACUAAAGCAGCCUGCGGUACGUGGCGAUCUCCAUCUCCAAGCGAGUCUUGACGUCCAGCAGGAUGCUGUACUCAUGGUUCUGAGCCUCCAUGUCAGCUCGGAGCUGCCUCAGCUGGGCCUCCACACUGGAAAUUGC